rnacentral:rRNA from 1 species
AUUCUCGGCCACAAUACCCUGAAUGGUUCUGAUCUCACGUGAUCUCAGAAGCUAAGCAGGGUCAGGCCUGUUAGUGCUUGGAUGGGAGGAACCCUCUGGGAAUUGUUGUUAUUUGGAGUA